UCCUAUGGUCGGGCGCGUGGGGGGACCUUUGUGUCCGCCACUCCGUUUGGUGGUAACGCCAACCUUGCGCGUCCGGCCACCAGG
rnacentral:antisense_RNA from 1 species